CACAGGGAUUUCUUCAUCCCAACAUGCAGAGUAUACUGUGUGAAUAACAAGACUAGGAAUUGGCCCUUAUUCUUCAGCUGUUUUUUCCUAGUCAGAAUCAAGAAAAGGGACUGCUAGUGAUGUCAUAAUUGUAACAUGCCUCCAAGGGAGCCCAGAAGAUCUCUUCCUGGUGGUGUAGUAGGACACUCAGGCACAACAAAAAAGGCAUGUGAAAUCAAAAGUUGUUCAAAUUGGCAAAUGAGAGAUCCAGUGAAGUAAGUAAUGAGUGUGAGACUUUCCAUAACUGCAGUCACAGUAGAGUUUUUGGAUGAAAGUGACCCAGUGUGAGAGAUCAGGGCAGAGUAAUGGCUCCUGUAUAGAUCAAAACACUUAUUUUAUCAUCUGCCACAUCAAGGACCAUCCAGGGCUCCUGAAUGGAGAUAAUCAUCUCAUUGAGGGGAGCUACCAGAAUCCCUGGGCUGCUUCAGACAUCCAACAAAGCCAUCUCCAGAGCAGAAGUCCCGCUUCCCCUUUGAGACUGAUUGAGCAUCUAUAAAGCCUAAGAGGUUGGCUGCUUGGAAAUGACCACCAUAAUAAAUAGUUUGUAACAGGGUAUGGGCUACCAAGGCCUAAGCUGAAGGGGAUCCUGGAGGAAAAAAAGAAACUCCUGGAGGUGCAAAAAGGAGGAAAUGGAAUUUGGCAGAGUGGAAAAUGCCAUAUGGGUCAGGACAUGAAGGCCUAGAGGUGGGAGCAUUUCUGAAGGUGACUUUUUUUGGACAUGAGUAAAGUGAAAGCAGAAGAACACAAACCCUUUCUUGCUUUUUGGCAACUACCAUAAAGUUGGGGUGAGUCUGAUGAUUCCAUUUGACACAGGCAACAGCUAGUUUGGACAAUGUUUCCCUUGCAAUUUGAACCCUAUUUGUUUAAGAUCUCUCUUUGAGAUGCUCCAGGAGCCCUCUGAAACAACCCAAAAUUAACUUGAGGUUUAAAAAAAUUUUUUUUUUUUUUAGUUAGAAUUUUAUGUUUGGGAAUUCUGUCAAAUAU
rnacentral:lncRNA from 1 species